CCUUCUCGAGACCUCUCAUCAUCUUCCCUUCUUGUUUUUUUAUAUCUUGCAAAGAAUUUUGUUGCUUGAGGAGUGAUCCAUGGAUAAUGAGAAGGUGGGUCAAGGUUUUCCUAACCAAGCUUCGAUGGGGUCAAGUGAAACUCCAUCUGAGAUCGCUUUAGGCCUAGAUGUUGAAAAAGCAACCUGAUAGAAGUUGACCUCAAGUGGAUCCAAGCUGAGUUCCACAUUCGUCAAGACUUUAUCUUGGAUUUGCUCAGUCAUUCUGGUCGCGUGACAUUGCCUUG
rnacentral:lncRNA from 1 species